CGCUCGUCGCAAUGACAGAUUGAUACUAGCAGCCGACCCGCUUCUGCUCGCGGGCCACACCCUGCUUCACCCCGUUCGAGGCACGGGGAUACUUGCGGGUGACUUCGCCGAACGCGGCGCAGGCGGCUUCCUUUUCCUUCAGCGCGGCGAGCGACUGGCCAAGGCGCAGCAGCGAGUCCGGCGCUUUCGCCGAGGUGUCGAACUUCGUGGUCACACCAAGAAACGCUUCGGCAGCGUCGCGGUACUUUUGCCGCUGGUACAGGCUCUCGCCG
rnacentral:misc_RNA from 1 species